rnacentral:rRNA from 1 species
CCUACGGGUGGCAGCAGUGAGGAAUAUUGGUCAAUGGACGAGAGUCUGAACCAGCCAAGUAGCGUGAAGGAUGACUGCCCUAUGGGUUGUAAACUUCUUUUAUAUGGGAAUAAAAUGUUCCACGUGUGGGAUUUUGUAUGUACCAUAUGAAUAAGGAUCGGCUAACUCCGUGCCAGCAGCCGCGGUAAUACGGAGGAUCCGAGCGUUAUCCGGAUUUAUUGGGUUUAAAGGGAGCGUAGGUGGAUUGUUAAGUCAGUUGUGAAAGUUUGCGGCUCAACCGGAAAAUUGCAGUUGAAACUGGCAGUCUUGAGUACAGUGGAGGUGGGCGGAAAUCGUGGUGUAGCGGUGAAAUGCUUAGAGAUCACGAAGAACUCCGAUUGCGAAGGCAGUUCACUGGACUGCAACUGACACUGAGGCUCGAAAGUGUGGGUAUCAAACAGGAUUAGAUACCCUAGUAGUC